GUAACGAGGGAGUGGAACGUCUUCCUAUAUUAGAAAUUCUUUGGUUCAGGGGAGAUAGGUUUUCUAUAAUUCCCUGAAACAUGAUAACUACAGAAGUAUGAUGCAUUUCCAUGCAUCGGAUGGUGUAAAGACGGUGCGCGAUCCUUGAACAUUUUACAAGUAGCUCAUGUUUCUUUGACAGACCCUGUCUGACCUGCUGCAGCUGGGUGCUUCACCAUGCCGCUGGUGUUGGAUGCAGUGUGGGCGCUGUGGAGCAUUGGAGCUGGCGUCUAUGACUACUUUCACACCAGUGCCAUGGAAGAGAGGAUCCACACACUGGAAAACGUCCUCUCGAUCCACCAGUUUGUGAUUGCAGGCCUGUCGGCAGGCCUCAUCCUGCUCAUAACCUACGUACUCUGGAGAAAACACUGAAACCCCACUAACCAAAGCUACGCUCCCCCCUACAAAAUGUUUUGUUGCAGGAUAUCAUGCGUUACCCUGAGUUCUUUCCAUGCCUGCGCUGUCCAGAGUGACAGUUUGGAUUAUGUGACUGCAUAACACUUGAAGAUCAAGCAUGUUCAGCAACAAUCAGGAUGUCCCAGAUGACGUCAGGAGCACUGAUGGGGAAACAACCUCUGUCUGUUUGUCUCUGUGUUUUGGAUGUUAAACUGGCCUGGGUAAAACUUUAUACAAAAUCAUAACUGCUUCUC